GUCGAGCGGUAACAGGGGGUGCUUGCACCCCGCUGACGAGCGGCGGACGGGUGAGUAAUGCUUAGGAAUCUGCCCAGUAGUGGGGGACAACAGUCGGAAACGGCUGCUAAUACCGCAUACGCCCUACGGGGGAAAGCAGGGGAUCUUCGGACCUUGCGCUAUUGGAUGAGCCUAAGUCGGAUUAGCUAGUUGGUGGGGUAAAGGCCUACCAAGGCGACGAUCCGUAGCUGGUCUGAGAGGAUGAUCAGCCACAUCGGGACUGAGACACGGCCCGAACUCCUACGGGAGGCAGCAGUGGGGAAUAUUGGACAAUGGGGGCAACCCUGAUCCAGCCAUGCCGCGUGUGUGAAGAAGGCUUUCGGGUUGUAAAGCACUUUCAGCGAGGAGGAAGGCCUUAAAGUUAAUACCUUUAAGGAUUGACGUUACUCGCAGAAGAAGCACCGGCUAACUCCGUGCCAGCAGCCGCGGUAAUACGGAGGGUGCAAGCGUUAAUCGGAAUUACUGGGCGUAAAGCGCGCGUAGGUGGUUUGGUAAGCGAGAUGUGAAAGCCCCGGGCUUAACCUGGGAACGGCAUUUCGAACUGUCAGACUAGAGUGUGGUAGAGGGUAGUGGAAUUUCCUGUGUAGCGGUGAAAUGCGUAGAUAUAGGAAGGAACACCAGUGGCGAAGGCGGCUACCUGGACCAACACUGACACUGAGGUGCGAAAGCGUGGGGAGCAUACAGGAUUAGAUACCCUGGUAGUCCACGCCGUAAACGAUGUCAACUAGCCGUUGGGACUCUUGAAGUCUUAGUGGCGCAGCUAACGCACUAAGUUGACCGCCUGGGGAGUACGGCCGCAAGGUUAAAACUCAAAUGAAUUGACGGGGGCCCGCACAAGCGGUGGAGCAUGUGGUUUAAUUCGACGCAACGCGAAGAACCUUACCUGGCCUUGACAUCCAGAGAACUUUCCAGAGAUGGAUGUGCCUUCGGGACUCUGAGACAGUGCUGCAUGUCGUCGUCAGCUCGUGUCGUGAGAUGUGGGUAGUCCCGUACGAGCGCAUCCCUAUCCUUCUGCUAGCAGGUAAAGCUGAAAACUCCAGGGAGACUGCCGGUG
rnacentral:rRNA from 1 species